GGUCGAUUAGUGUAGUGGUUAUCACAUCGGAUUCUUCUGAUCAGAACCAGAUCUUUGAACUGCACAAGGUCAUUUCCGCCGAAUCAAUUGGAACUUCCGGUAACCUGGGUUCGACUCCCAGAUUGACCU